rnacentral:lncRNA from 1 species
CUAAUAUUUUUCAAGUUGCGCUUUUUAAAAGAGGGCGGCGACGAACACGUGGAGAUGUUGGGUAUAUCGAGCCACGUGUCUAGUUCUGGUGGAGACUAACAGCUAAGGACCACGCAAGUUGGUGAGGGCGACGCGUAGAGGAACCAAACCGUGACAGCAAGAUUAUUACGUCAUGCGACUUUCACACGCUAAUAUGGCCCAACCAAUUAUUUUUAUUUUUGUAAAUAAUCUUUUUAUCUAUGUUUUCUAAUUUUUUUUUUUUGAGACUACAAAAGAUCUCCUAGCCAUUAUUGGAUGUUGCGAUCUGAUUUUUCCUCCGCCCUUUUUC